rnacentral:tRNA from 1 species
CGUUAGCUCAGUUGGUAGAGCAGGCGGACUCUUAAGUCCGUAGGUCGAGUGUUCGAGUCACUCACG